AGGAGCCGUAUGAAUCGAGAGAUUCACGUACGGAUCUGUGAGGGGCUGAGGGGGAAGUUCCCUCGGCCUACUCGAC
rnacentral:ncRNA from 1 species